rnacentral:rRNA from 1 species
GACGAACGCUGGCGGCGUGCUUAACACAUGCAAGUCGAACGGAAAGGCCCUGCUUGCAGGGUGCUCGAGUGGCGAACGGGUGAGUAACACGUGGGUGAUCUGCCCCUUACUUUGGGAUAAGCCUGGGAAACUGGGUCUAAUACUGGAUAGGACCAUGCUGUAGGUGGUGUGGUGGAAAGAUUAGUUUCGGUAAGGGAUGAGCUCGCGGCCUAUCAGCUUGUUGGUGGGGUAAUGGCCUACCAAGGCGUCGACGGGUAGCCGGCCUGAGAGAGUGGACGGCCACAUUGGGACUGAGAUACGGCCCAGACUCCUACGGGAGGCAGCAGUGGGGAAUAUUGCACAAUGGGCGCAAGCCUGAUGCAGCGACGCCGCGUGGGGGAUGACGGCCUUCGGGUUGUAAACUCCUUUCAGCCAUGACGAAGCCCUUGUGGUGACGGUAGUGGUAGAAGAAGCACCGGCUAACUACGUG